UUUUGGAUAAGACGUGGUCGUGGGCAAAUGGCUCAAAAUCGUUCGCCACUGUUCUGUGGUUGUUCGCUUCCCGAAGCUUCGCCCUUCUCUGUCUCGAUCGCUAUAUCAGGUCUCUCUCUUUAGCUUCGCUGUUGGUUUCGAUCAAACCACCCAUUCUUCGUUGGAAUGGUUGAGAUCUGGAAGUUUAUUGGCUUCCGAUCCAAAUUGGUUCUUUAUACGAAUCUACCUGGUUGGAGCUGAUGGAUCUCGGAGAGUCUAUGUCAUCAAACCGCGGUUUGCAUGGGAUUGCUUGUUGGCGCUUUUGCAUGAGCGCGACUGGUUGACAACGAGAGAGAGCACGCCGGUCCGCGGCCCAUGCCGGCUUCCAUGGUCCUGUACUAGCGUGCUCCUUCUUGUUGUCAACCUGGUUCGCAUCACCAGACAUCCUUCUCUUUUUCUUUGUCAGAUGAAGUGUUGCAUCUGAUUGGGUACGUUUUGCUUGCCUCACGCUUCAUUCGUUAAUUCAGUUGUUCGCUCCAAUCCAUGAUGUUUCUCCAUUAAUUUACUCAUGUUAGCGUCUAAAGCUAAGGUAUGCCUAAGCUAGCUAAAUACUGCAAACUAUUUGUGGUGAUAUCUCCUUGCUGAUGUCUGAUGAAUCUUAUGUUACUUUACAUGCUGGUAAUUUAGUGCUUGUUUUUGUUUACCUCCUUCGACCUCAGUCAUGUUAGUGAUGGUACAGAUAUACAAGAUCGUUGGAACUGAGAAAUGAUAUCUUGUAUUAUAUGUUGUGAAGGAUACUCCUGUUCCUUCUGAAGGAUUUCUUGAAGAAAGAAUUAACACUAUCUGUGCAUAAAUAUACCUUUGUGAACUGGUGCCUGAAUCUUUUCAGAAAUUGGAGGACCAUGAUGGGAAUGUCCAUUCUUCUCCAGAGUAUAGGAACAGAUCUUUUUUUCAAUUACCUAUGUUGAUGCUAAUUGUCGUAGGGACAUAUGAUCCAGUUUCAAACUGUUCAAAUCACAAGAUUCCAGUCUUAUAUUGAGUUAUUUCAUGAGGAAAACAAGAUCCAUCCAUGUUUUUGUUCGCUUGUAUGUAUUCUCUUAUAGGUCUGAAGAUAAGUAUCACAACAUCUUUGUUGAACUUGAAGGGAAGCUGUUGAAGAACCAAUCUUUCCAACCAGUGCAAAAGAUCUACCUAGCAUUGGUAUAUAAAUCAUGGAUGUUCAAGGAGCAUAUUUAAUUUGUAGCGUAUGAUUUCCGAGACAAGGUCCAAAAGGUCAAGGAAUUCUUUGUAAUGUUUUGUGGAAUGUGAUAUUCGAAUGUAGAAGCGGAGAAGGCAUUAGAAUUCCACGUCGGUUCCAGAAACUUCCGCAGAGUAAAAAAAAAAAAAGUGCAUUUGGUAUUUAGCAGUUCGUUAAACUUCCGCUGACUGCAAUCUUUGCAGGUUUCUUAGCAGUUAGCAUUUGAAUAGUAGGUGCUUCCUCUGAUUGACCUACGCGGAGGAAUAUUUCAGUUCUCACCAUUGCUACUCGUUCUUCUUAUGCUUGACUAAAAAAUGGCAAUGGAGAAAGGCAAGUACGAGAAUUGGGGUACUACUUUCUGUUUCAUGAGCAUAUUGGGUGCGCCAAUAUUUCUUGUGAUAUCACGUUCAAGCAUCAACCAUGUGUUGCUUGUGGAAACCCCUCUUUGGUUGCAGGAAUCUGGUAAUGAUUCAAGCAAUGUCAUUACCUGAUGGUCCUAUGCAACCGCCAAUAUUUCUUUUGUGGUAAAUAGCGGCUGCCUCAAGGAAUGAGACUUAUCACAUGCCCUUGAGCGUAUCUAAUGACUGAAAAUAUAAAGGUAUUAGUCAGUUUAGUUGACAAUAGAUUUUAUUUGACGUUUGUAAAAAAUAAAGCAUAAAAUGGUCCAAAAAUAUUAGAUUGAAUAAGUGAUCAACAUUUUUAUGAUAACUUAGAUAAGAUGGUCAACAGUUAUA